rnacentral:lncRNA from 1 species
GUAGGACCUCGUGACGGAUCUUAUGAUGACAUUGGGUCAUGUGAGGAGUCUUACACUUCUCACUCUAAACUUAGAUUUGGUGUUAGGUAUAACCCUUUCGUUCGCAAAGCUUAUGAGAGCUAUGAUGAGAGUACACAUGAGGAGCGUGAAGAUUCAUAUUCUCCACCUUGUAGUACUUCUUAUCAAGGUCGAUAUAGUGUAAAUGGUUAUACUAGCUCUAGUGGAGGUUGUCCAACGAGAAGAAGAGGUUAUGCAUCUCCAAAAUUGAGGGGUACUCGUGUUCUUUACAAUGUUGAUACGAGAAGGAGUGUACAUUCCGGAAAGGAGACCAUUUUUGGGAUACCGG